rnacentral:misc_RNA from 1 species
GUCCAUCAACGUUAAACGUCUUAGGGCUUUCAGUGCUAAAAAAUAUCUUAGACUAACACCUAAAAAAACAAUUUAGUACAAGCACCUGUUAAAGCACAAAUAGAAUAAAUGUAUCAGAGAAUUGUUCCUUCAACAUCUUCUACUUACUGGAAAAAAUAACGCAGUCAAGGGCUCUAAACAGCCAAAGCAGCUAUCCCAUCCUUUAUUUUUUGAAUCAUUAAUAAUUAUAAUAUUAAAAUCUGCUCUUAAGUUCAUAUCAGCUCUCGCCUUGCUCAUUGAAG